rnacentral:rRNA from 1 species
UACGGGGGGGGUAAGCGGUUGUUCGGAAUUACUGGGCGUAAAGGGCUCGGUAGGCGGCCAACUAAGUCAGACGUGAAAUCCCUCAGCUUAACUGGGGAACUGCGUCUGAUACUGGAUGGCUUGGAUUCGGGAGAGGAAUGCGGAAUUCCAGAUGUAGCGGUGAAAUGCGUAGAUAUCUGGAGGAACACCGGUGGCGAAGGCGGCAUUCUGGACCGACAUUGACGCUGAGGAGCGAAAGCCAGGGGAGCAAACGGG